rnacentral:rRNA from 1 species
CCUACGGGAGACAGCAGUGAGGAAUAUUGGUCAAUGGACGAGAGUCUGAACCAGCCAAGUAGCGUGAAGGAUGACUGCCCUAUGGGUUGUAAACUUCUUUUAUAUGGGAAUAAAACGUUCCACGUGUGGGCUUUUGUAUGUUCCAUAUGAAUAAGGAUCGGCUAACUCCGUGCCAGCAGCCGCGGUAAUACGGAGGGUCCGAGCGUUUUCCGGAUUUAUUGGGUUUAAAGGGAGCGUAGGUGGAUUGUUAAGUCAGUUGUGAAAGUUUGCGGCUCAACCGUAAAAUUGCAGUUGAAACUGGCAGUCUUGAGUACAGUAGAGGUGGGCGGAAUGCGUGGUGUAGCGGUGAAAUGCUUAGAUAUCACGAAGAACUCCGAUUGCGAAGGCAGCUCACUGGACUGCAACUGACACUGAGGCUCGAAAGCGUGGGUAUCAAACAGGAUUAGAUACCCCUGUAGUC